rnacentral:rRNA from 1 species
GACGAACGCUGGCGGCGUGCUUAACACAUGCAAGUCGAACGGAAAGGCCCUGCUUUUGUGGGGUGCUCGAGUGGCGAACGGGUGAGUAACACGUGAGUAACCUGCCCUUGACUUUGGGAUAACUUCAGGAAACUGGGGCUAAUACCGGAUAGGAGCUCCUGCUGCAUGGUGGGGGUUGGAAAGUUUCGGCGGUUGGGGAUGGACUCGCGGCUUAUCAGCUUGUUGGUGGGGUAGUGGCUUACCAAGGCUUUGACGGGUAGCCGGCCUGAGAGGGUGACCGGCCACAUUGGGACUGAGAUACGGCCCAGACUCCUACGGGAGGCAGCAGUGGGGAAUAUUGCACAAUGGGCGGAAGCCUGAUGCAGCAACGCCGCGUGCGGGAUGACGGCCUUCGGGUUGUAAACCGCUUUCGCCUGUGACGAAGCGUGAGUGACGGUAAUGGGUAAAGAAGCACCGGCUAACUACGUGCCAGCAGCCGCGGUGAUACGUAGGGUGCGAGCGUUGUCCGGAUUUAUUGGGCGUAAAGGGCUCGUAGGUGGUUGAUCGCGUCGGAAGUGUAAUCUUGGGGCUUAACCCUGAGCGUGCUUUCGAUACGGGUUGACUUGAGGAAGGUAGGGGAGAAUGGAAUUCCUGGUGGAGCGGUGGAAUGCGCAGAUAUCAGGAGGAACACCAGUGGCGAAGGCGGUUCUCUGGGCCUUUCCUGACGCUGAGGAGCGAAAGCGUGGGGAGCGAACAGGCUUAGAUACCCUGGUAGUCCACGCUGUAAACGGUGGGUACUAGGUGUGGGGUCCAUUCCACGGGUUCCGUGCCGUAGCUAACGCUUUAAGUACCCCGCCUGGGGAGUACGGCCGCAAGGCUAAAACUCAAAGGAAUUGACGGGGCCCCGCACAAGCGGCGGAGCAUGCGGAUUAAUUCGAUGCAACGCGUAGAACCUUACCUGGGUUUGACAUGGAUCGGGAGUGCUCAGAGAUGGGUGUGCCUCUUUUGGGGUCGGUUCACAGGUGGUGCAUGCCUGCCGUCAGCUCGUGUCGUGAGAUGUUGGGUUAAGUCCCGCAACGAGCGCAACCCUUGUUCACUGUUGCCAGCACGUUAUGGUGGGGACUCAGUGGAGACCGCCGGGGUCAACUCGGAGGAAGGUGGGGAUGACGUCAAGUCAUCAUGCCCCUUAUGUCCAGGGCUUCACGCAUGCUACAAUGGCUGGUACAGAGAGUGGCGAGCCUGUGAGGGUGAGCGAAUCUCGGAAAGCCGGUCUCAGUUCGGAUUGGGGUCUGCAACUCGACCUCAUGAAGUCGGAGUCGCUAGUAAUCGCAGAUCAGCAACGCUGCGGUGAAUACGUUCCCGGG